rnacentral:rRNA from 1 species
AAUGAACGCUGGCGGCAGGCCUAACACAUGCAAGUCGAACGCUCGUAGCAAUACGAGAGUGGCAGACGGGUGAGUAACACGUGGGAACCUUCCCUAUGGUUCGGAAUAGCCCAGGGAAACUUGGGGUAAUACCGGAUAAGCCCUUACGGGGAAAGAUUCAUCGCCAUUGGAUGGUCCCGCGUCGGAUUAGCUAGUUGGUGGGGGAACGCCUCACCAAGGCGACGAUCCGUAGCUGGUUUGAGAGGAUGAUCAGCCACACUGGGACUGAGACACAGCCCAGAAUCCACAGGUAUGCAGCAGUGGGGAAUAUUCGAAAAUGGGCGGAAGCCUGAUCCAGCCAUGCCGCGUGAGUGACGAAGGCCUUAGGGUUGUAAAGCACUUUUGGCGGGGAAGAUAAUGACGGUACCCGCAGCAUAAGCUCCGGCUAACUUCGUGCCAGCCGCCGCAGUAA